rnacentral:tRNA from 1 species
GGGGCUGUAGCUCAGUAGUAGAGUGCUCACCUCGUAUGUGAAAGGCACUGGGUUUAAUCCUCAGCACCA